GGAGAGGUCGCAUAGUGGUCUAGUGCGCCGCACUCGAAAUGCGGUGUAUCGCAAGGUACCGUGGGUUCGAAUCCCACCCUCUCCGCCA
rnacentral:tRNA from 2 species